UCCAACCCCACCACGCAGUUACAACACCCACCUCCACCUAUUUAAUAGCAGGGGAGGUCGUUCUCCUUCUAGCCUUUUCUUUUGCGGAUUCCUUCCCCCAAUUCCCCUUAGCUUCUACUUAUUUAUUCCUUUCUUUAUUAUGAUUAGCAUUUUGUAUUUAUUUUCUUUAUGGCUUCAGGAAGGAGCUGCAGCACUCUAAGGGGCUGAUGCAGCUCAGCUGUGCUCCUGGUUCUCCCAUUCUGCUCCAGGAACCAAUCUCUCCUUCCUCACUGUGCUUUAACUUCAGCUGAGCUCUCAUAAAGUUCUCUUUUGAGGCCUGCGUUUGAGCAUAGAAAAGGUCUGUGAAGCCUCAGAGAAGCACUUCUUGCAGUGUGCAAUGGAGGAGGACGCUUCCCUUGGCUUCAAUCCGGGAGUGAGGAGCAGGCUGGAUCCUUGCAAGGGGAUGGCUUCAUGACUUUAAAAGGAUUUGUGACAAGCCAUGAGCCUUGAGAAAAUAAACCAUGAUGAAUUCCCAUCCGUAGAGACAGCUCUGAAGGUUUUCAAGAUCAGAAUGAAUAAAGCACUGUGCAAUCUGGUCAGAUCUCCCAGGGAGCCUGGCUCUGAGCAAAGAAGAGGAAUAGACAUGAGCUCCAGUUUGGAUUGCUCUCAUCAGCGAUGAUCAUACAGAGAUUCUAAGCAGCCGUAGACUUGUUUGGGGCUGGAAGUUGCAUCAGGGCAGCAAGGAUGGAAGUUUUUGGAUUUGGACACAGUGCUGCCAUAGAGUGGCUACCUGGUUAUUGGAUUCUAGUUAUUCACUUUCUCAGAGUACUCCACGCUUCAUGUUGAGGGCUGUACUCUUACAUCCUGAGUUGUAUAACCCAUUACAUCCUUAUUGUUUAAGCCUUUGCAGCAGUUGAGACUAUUUCAGAGUCAUAAGCAGCUAUUAAGAACGUUGCUGUUGUUUCUCACCAUAGAAUAAGAGAGUGACAGAAUGGCUUGGGUUGGAAGGAAGUUUGAAGAUCGUCUAGUUCCAGCCCCUUUUUGCAAACACAGAAAGGCCUUGCCAUAAAUUUUAA